rnacentral:rRNA from 1 species
CACGUAGGGCGCAAGCGUUGUCCGGAAUUAUUGGGCGUAAAGAGCUCGUAGGCGGUCUGUUACGUCUGCUGUGAAAACCCAGGGCUCAACCCUGGGCUUGCAGUGGAUACGGGCAGACUAGAGGUAGGUAGGGGAGAAUGGAAUUCCCGGUGUAGCGGUGAAAUGCGCAGAUAUCGGGAGGAACACCGGUGGCGAAGGCGGUUCUCUGGGCCUUACCUGACGCUGAGGAGCGAAAGCGUGGGGAGCGAACAGG